AAUGGUGAGCCAGUGGGGGGAGAAGUUCUAGAGAGCUGUUGGGGGGUCUGGGAAGAGAACGGAGACACCAAGCCUAUAGACGAGAAAUAAAGAAAGGGAAGAAGACGAGGGAAGGUGUCGAACGAGAGUAAUUAAGCUGUUCAUUAACACCUUCUUCAAGAGGAGCAAGGACAAGUGACCCUAAAGAAUGCUCCAGUUCUACAGAUUCCCAAGCCAUCCUGAGUCAUAAUACUGUCCUCUGGACAGGAUAUCAUCAUAUACUGUAAGUUCAUUAUGGAGACACUACAGUAUAGAUGAUGUACUAUCCAGGGUGGCAUUCCUCCUCUGUGGUCUACCACACACGCAUGCACUUUCUGUGAUAGAGGGAGGCGGUUAAACCGUUACCAUUACUGAGUUUAGUAAUGGUAAGGGUUCUCUUGCUUCUUCUCACUGCCAUCGUUCUGGAAAUCGACCUCAGGCCAGAAGUGUGGAGCUGAACCGUGGGGACUGCAUAGUAUAAUGGAGAAAUUAAUAGAGCAAAUGAAAGAGUAAAAAAAAAAGUUUUUUAAAUAAUUUAAAUGUUGUUUGUGAACAUGUUUCCAACUUCAGUACAGCUGUUUUUAAUAAGUUCUGAUGUUCAAUAAACAUGUACUUGAAUCAGGAA